rnacentral:rRNA from 1 species
UACGAAGGGUGCAAACGUUGCUCGGAAUCAUUGGGCGUAAAGCGCACGUAGGCGGCUUCGCAAGUCGGAUGUGAAAUCCCUCGGCUCAACCGAGGACGUGCAUCCGAAACUGCGGAGCUUGAGUACUGAAGAGGAUCGCGGAAUUCCCGGUGUAGAGGUGAAAUUCGUAGAUAUCGGGAGGAACACCAGUGGCGAAGGCGGCGAUCUGGGCAGAUACUGACGCUGAGGUGCGAAAGCGUGGGGAGCAAACAGG